rnacentral:rRNA from 1 species
CAGCCGCCACGGUAACACGAGGGGGGCAAGCGUUGUUCGGAUUUAUUGGGCGUAAAGGGUGCGUAGGCGGUUUGGCAAGUUUGGUGUGAAAUCUUCGGGCUCAACUCGAAGUCUGCAUCAAAAACUGCCGGGCUUGAGUAUGGGAGAGGUGAGUGGAAUUUCCGGUGUAGCGGUGAAAUGCGUAGAUAUCGGAAGGAACACCUGUGGCGAAAGCGGCUCACUGGACCAUAACUGACGCUGAGGCACGAAAGCUAGGGGAGCAACAGGAUUAGAUACCCCAGUAGUCCCUGUCUCUUAUACA